rfam:Basidiobolus meristosporus CBS 931.73 K493scaffold_505, whole genome shotgun sequence.
GGUGAGAUGGCCGAGUGGUCCAAGGCGCUGCGUUCAGGUCGCAGUCUCUUCGGAGGCGUGGGUUCGAACCCCACUCUCAUCA